GACCCAUGAUGAUGGGAGCUUUUACUUUGACAGGCUGUAUAUACUGCGGGAGUUUCCUGGUAGAUUCAGAGCAGAGGUUCCGCGAGCAGAUUGUGCGGGAUGGAAACGCGGUGUUUAUAUCUUUUACUGAUCUGUGUGCUGUCAGUGUAUCCUGCCACAGCCGACAAUGGCAGCGUUAAAAAGAUGAAAAUGCAAUAUACCGGAAUGCCACUGUUGAAGUUUCAGAUUUGCGUGUCCUGAGGGUACAGGCGGGUGUUUGAAGAGUACUCUCGGGUUCUCACCCAGAGGUACCCAGACAUCCGCAUCGAGGGAGAAAACUUCCUGCCACAGCCUUUAUACAGGCACAUAGCUUCCUUCCUCUCCGUCUUCAAAUUUGUAGUGAUUGGUUUAGUUAUCCUGGGCAAGGACCCUUUCACGUUUUUCCAUAUGGAGGCUCCAGGAAUCUGGCUUUGGGCACAAGAGAAUAAGAUGUAUGCCUGCAUGAUGGUGUUCUUCCUCAGCAACAUGAUUGAAAACCAGUGUAUGUCUACUGGCGCCUUUGAAAUCGCACUUAAUGAUGUGCCUGUAUGGUCAAAGCUUCAGUCUGGCCACCUGCCCUCUAUGCAGCAGCUGCUGCAGAUUCUGGAGAAUGAGAUGAAGCUGAGCGCACACAUGGACUCUCUCCCCCACAGACGGGCGUAAGGCUGCAGGAACUGAACAGACUGGCUGUGACUUGUGGGUAGCCUGAUGGUUUUUAUGCCACUAUAAAUAGAGUGGUGCAGUAGGCCAAAACCCGGAAACAGGUGUGUGAUGUGAGGCCUUGGUGUGUAAGAUGGCAUUAAUGAAGGUUUGCACUGAAUGCAGUGUGUCUGCUAGUGCAGGCUGGAUGUCCAGUCCCUCUCACUGCUCCAUGAGUCUCCCUGUACACACAUCCACUCUGCAGUCUUUGGCUAAGAAUUAUGGAGGAAAUGGAAAGUUCCAUCUGAAAAUAUUCUGCAGCCAUCAACCAAUAACAACACAUGCUGUUAAGUGGAUCAAAUUGAUGUUAAUUACAGUGUUAACCUGUUUUCAGGUCUGUGCAGUAUUAAUUACUGAAAUCAGUUUUCAAAGUAUUUCCAGAGUUUGAAAUUCAAACUCUUUGUAAUGUGUUGAGAAUUACAAUUCUGUAUUUGAUUUUGCCCUCUCAUUUUAUUUACACUUUCAUCUUUUUCAUAUGAUCUUGUGCCAAUUUAUUCAUUCCACUCUGAUGUUUAUGCAAUGUACAUUCUAGACAACAGUAUUCAUUAAAAAAUAUAAAAAGUUCUGUAAAUGUAUGCAAUAACUAAAUAUGUAUAUCAAGAAUGUACUUUGAUGCAUUUUGAUUUUUGAUCAUAUUUAAUGUUGGUUUACAAUCUGUUUUUUUUGAAUAAAGUCAAGCAAUGGAUGUGUAAA